GAUAGUUAUAAAACAAAGAAAUAGAGAGAAGAGAAAAAAAAUUGUGCAUUUAUUUUAUGUGUGUCAAUUGCUUAACAAAAUUCACAGUGCUACAGAGUUGGCUCCCACAUUACUUUUGAAUUUUUUUUAAAUUGAUUUAUUUUGUAUUUUUGAAAUGCAGGUGAGUACAACAGUGCCUGCAUUGCCACAACAGCAUUCCCAGGCUCAUUUGAUAUAAGCAAACAAAGGUUAUGGCAUGUUG